GAUGAAGAACGCAUCGAAACGCGAUACGUAAUGUGAAUUGCAGAAUUCAGUGAAUCAUCGAAUCUUUGAACGCACCUUGCGCCCCUCGGCAUUCCGAGGGGCAUGCCUGUUUGAGUGUCACGGAUCCUUCGAACCCCGCCGGUCUCCGACGAGCCGGCCGCCUGGGUUCGGUCCUGGGCGCUACGCCACCCCUCCGGGGCUGGACCGCCUCAAAAGCAUCAGCUGGGCCUCGCGGCGUGGGCGGGCUCCGAUCGGCGUGAUAAGUCAUCUGCCGAGAGGGUGCCCGUCCGUCCCGCGGAUCGCGGUCCGCUCCCAACCCCUCCCCGCGCGCCGUCCCCCCCCGGGGAGCGCGCGGGGACGUUUCGACGCUCUGGCCUCAAAUCAGGUAGGACCACCCGCUGAACUUAAGCAUAUCAAUAAGCGGAGGA
rnacentral:misc_RNA from 1 species